AUCCUUGGAAUGACGCGCGCAAUAUCCUAUAUAUGUCCCGUCCGGGCAACCGGACUAUGGCGAUAAACGGCCGUCGCAAUAUCCACCCCGGACCCGGGGGCAGUACCCGGCGCCUCCACCACAUGCGCCGCCUGGGCCACAUGAGGCCCGUGCACGCCGACCCGACAACGACGGCGCAUCUGAUGGGGGCGAAACAGUUUCGACGGGGUGGAGAAAGGACGUGCCUUUCGCCCGGUUGUGGUACCGCCGUAACGGUCCGAACUGCAAUAGUUGCCAACGACAACUAUGCUCCGGUGGCUGUCGCUGCGUAAUGCGGCACCAGACACCGACCGAUAAAGUCCCGGGCGCGUAAAGCCCGCCCGGGCGGGGCUUCGGGAGGGCGCCUGGCAACAGAAGCCCUCCCACU
rnacentral:tmRNA from 1 species